rnacentral:misc_RNA from 1 species
GAUAAAGAACGCAGCGAAAUGCGAUAAGUAAUGUGAAUUGCAGAAUUCAGUGAAUCAUCGAAUCUUUGAACGCACAUUGCGCCCCUUGGUAUUCCGGGGGGCAUGCCUGUUCGAGCGUCAUUUCAACCCUCAAGCUCUGCUUGGUAUUGGGCUCCGUCCUCAGGGACGCGCCUCAAAGACCUCGGCGGUGGCGUCUUGCCUCAAGCGUAGUAGAAAACACCUCGCUUUGGAGUGCUGGGCGUCGCCCGCCGGACGAACCUUUGAAUUUUUCUCAAGGUUGACCUCGGAUCAGGUAGGGAUACCCGCUGAACUUAAGCAUAUCAAUAAGCGGAGGA